AUGGAUUGGAACCCUCAAAUACUUUGCUGGAACGUGAGAGGGCUCAACAACCCCGCCAAGAGACAUGCAGUUAGGGAGUUUGUAGUCACAGCAAAGGUCAACCUUGUAUGUCUUCAAGAAACUAAGCUUGAAGCUUUCGAUCCCUAUUUGGUUAUGCAAUGCAUCGGACCAUCUUUUGAUGGUUUUGCCUACUUGCCUGCUUCAGACACUAGGGGUGGCAUCCUUCUGGGUUGG
rnacentral:rRNA from 1 species